ensembl:lncRNA
AGGACCUCGGCGUUACACUGGAACCUGAUCUCUCUUUUGAAGAACAUAUCAAGACUGUUUCAAGGACAACUUUUUUCCAUCUACGUAACAUUGCAAAAAUCAGAAACUUUCUGUCCAAAAAUGAUGCAGAAAAAUUAAUCAAUGCUUUUGUAACUUCUAGGUUAGACUACUGCAAUGCUCUACUUUCUGGCUACCUGGAUAAAGCACUAAAUAAACUUCAGUUAGUGCUAAAUACAGCUGCUAGAAUCCUGACUAGAACCAAAAAAUAUUGAUCAUAUUACUCCAGUGCUAGCCUCCCUACACUGGCUUCCUGUCAAGGCAAGGGCUGAUUUCAAGGUUUUACUUCUAACCUACAAAGCAUUACAUGGGCUUGCUCCUACCUAUCUCUCUGAUUUGGUCCUGCCGUACAUACCUACACGUACGCUACGGUCAUAAGACGCAGGCCUCCUAAUUGUCCCUAGAAUUUCUAAGCAAACAGCUGGAGGCAGGGCUUUCUCCUAUAGAGCUCCAUUUUUAUGGAAUGGUCUGCCUACCCGUGUAAGAGACGCAACCUCGGUCUCAACCUUUAAGUCUUUACUGAAGACUCAUCUCUUCAGUGAUGAAGAGAUGAUAUGAUUGAGUGUAGUCUGGCCCAGGAGUGUGAAGGUGAACGGAAAGGCUCUGGAGCAACGAACUGCCUUUGUUGUCUCUGCCUGGCCGGUUCCCCUCUUUCCACUGGGAUUCUCUGCCUCUAACCCUAUUACAGGGGCUGAGUCACUGGCUUACUGGUGCUCUUUCUUGCCGUCCCUAGGAGGGGUGCGUCACUUGAGUGGGUUGAGUCACUGAUGUGAUCUUUCUGUCUGGGUUGGCGCCCCGCCUUGGGUUGUGCCGUGGUGGAGAUCUUUGUGGGCUAUACUCGGCCUUGUCUCAGGAUGUCCACCUGGCCGUGCUGCUGCUCCUGUUUCAACUGUUCUGCCAGUGAUUAUUAUUUGACCAUGCUGGUCAUUUAUGAACAUUUGAACAUCUUGGCCAUGUUCUGUUAUAAUUUCCACCCGGCACAGCCAGAAGAGGACUUGCCACCCCACAUAGCCUGGUUCCUCUUUAGGUUUCUUCUUAGGUUUUGGCGUUUCUAGGGAGUUUUUCCUAGCCACCGUGCUUCUACACCUGCAUUGCCCACCCCCCCCCUAGACCAGAUGGAGAAUUCAAUAAAUCCAUUUUUUUUAAAAAGUGAAUAAAAGACUUGCUAAAAGUUCCAAAAUGUUGCAUUUUGACAUGUCCCUCCAUCAACCCUGUGUCACUUCUUGUAAGAUUUUAACACAUUUAAUCCCCCAAAUUGUUCAAGUUUCACCAUCAUUGUAAAGCCUUAGUUAUUUUGUUCCUUUGACAAAGUAAUUUCUUAAGAUUUUUCUUUCUUUAAUGUGAUUAGUGAUUCAUUUACAUAUGUUCCUAAUUUUAAGGUCAACCCUGUUAUUAAGUGAACUGAACUCUCCUUUUAAUAUGGUGAAACUAUUCCUUUGAAAAAAAAAUCCAAAGAAACAGCAAACAUCCAAAUCAUAAUGUAAAAGCAGGUGAGCUGGUUUGACUCUUUAUGUCCAUUUUCUGGUGUAAAGCUGAGCGGGUCGAGCAUGCUACAUCAACCCUGUUACCCAUAGAUAGACAGGCCAGUAGUGUUCUAACAAUUUGUAAAAAAAAAUUGUAAACAAGUAUUUAUAAUUAUGAGGCAUUCAAUUGCCACUCCCUGUUUGUUGCACACAACAAGAUCCAUUCUCUCUGUCACAAGGUGAUUUAUGGCUGAUUUAAGAUUAAAUCGUCAAACCUGUUACGGUCAACCCUGUUAUUUUAUUUGGCAUUUAAAAGGCACUUACUACAGUAUUUAAAAAAAUGUUUUAACCUCGAGAUAGAAAACCGUUUUAUUAAGUUGAACAUGUGCUCUUUAUGACAAAAAUGUUAAACGGCACUGAAUUGGUGGAACGACCCAGCUAGCUUGAUAAAACAGUGCUGAUAAUUUCAUUUUGCCUAGCUAGCUAAAUUGUGCAGCCAGCAUUUUGUCUAUGUUGAUGCUUUUACAAUAACCAAACAGUUUGAUAAAAUUGUUUUGUUGAAGUUUGUGAAACUAUAUGAUGCAAAUGUAUGACAGGGUUGGAUGUUGCGUACAAUCUGAAUCUUGUUUGAGUUGCUUUGUGUAUCAACACAUUUGCUUGAGAUGAUCAAGACAUUGUGUCCAAGUUGCUUGACAUAAAUGUUUCAAAUAACUGUCAAUCUUUUAGCUCCCCGCCAACUCAGACUGGUCCUUCAGCCUAACUGAACGUUAGAGAUGAGAGAAAUGGACAUUCCUGCAAAGAAACCACUACUAAAGCACACCAAUAAGAAGGAGAUACUUGCUUGGGCCAAGAAACAUGAGCAAUGAACAUUAGACAGGUGGAAAUCUGUCCAGUGGUCUUUUUGGUUCCAACCGCUGUGUCUUUGUGAGACACAGAGUAGGUGAACGAAGGAUCUCUGCAUGUGUGGUUCCCACCGUGAAGCAUGGAGGAGGAGGUGAGAUGGUGUGGGGGUGCUUUGCUGGUGACACUGUCUGUGAUUUAUUUAGAAUUCAAGGCACACUUAACCAGCAUGGCUACCACAGCAUUCAGCACCGAUACGCCAUCCCAUCUGGUUUGUGCUUAGUGGGACAAUAUUUUUUUUGCAAAAGGACAAUGACCCAACACACCUCCAGGCUGUGUAAGGGCUAUUUGACCAAGAAGGAGAGUGAUUGAGUGCUUCAUCAGAUGACCUGUCCUCCACAAUCACCUGACCUCAACCCAAUUGAGAUGGUUUGGAAUGAGUUGGACUGCAGAGUGAAGGAAAAGCAGCCAACAAGUGCUCAGCAUAUAUUUUUUAUUCAACCUUUAUUUAACUAGGCAAGUCAGUUGAGAACAAAUUCUUAUUUACAAUAAAGGCAAAGAGUGGCUACUCUGAAGAAUCUGAAAUAUAUUUUGAUUUGUUUAACACUUUUUUGGUUACUGUAACGUCUGCUCCCGACUCACACUCCAAACACCUGAAUUCUAAUCACCUGCUCACACAAGGGUGUGUCAUUAUCACACACUAUUUAGUUCAGGUCUUUGCACCCCAUCACUGUGAGGUAUUGUUUGUUUUGUGACACAGGUCUUUCUGGUUUCCCAGUGAUUUACUCCUCCCGUGUAUGAUAGUUUUGGCUUCUCACUACCUUUUUGCCUAUUACCUGCCUGUACUUUCGGAUUUCCUGUUCUCUACCUAUUGCCUGAUCUCCCAGACUACUUUACUAGCCUUUUCCCUGCCUGUACUGUUGCCCUUUUGGAUCCCCUGUGUAUGACGAUUAUUCUAGGUGCUUCUACACCUGUAUUGCUUGCUGUCUGGGUUUCUGUACAGCACUUUGAGAUAUCAGCUGAUGUACAAAGGGCUAUAUAAAUACAUUUGAUUUGAUUUGAUGACCUUCUGCCUGCCCCUGGACCCAGCUACCUGCCUCCUCCUGUGGUCCUUUGCAAUAAACACCUGC